rnacentral:rRNA from 1 species
AUGGAUCUAGCCCGCCGGGUUGAGACGCAGGCCCGCUGGCCGGACGGCAGCAACGUGCGUCCCCUCACCCGGUCCAUAUCCACAACUACUCCAGAUGGGAAACAGCACGGUGGCGACCGGGCCGCUCCCGGAGACUCUCACGGCGGCCGGCGUGCGAGCGUGUGCGCCUGUUCCUCUGAUGGGUGGGUUGGAUCUCUAUUUUAUGUUAUUAUUACAGAUGAUUUGCAUAAGGAAAACGAACAGAGAGUUUUUUUUUUAAAUCUUCUGUAUAUCACCGGAGGACAAAGCAAAAAGAGAAUCGUUGUUCAGAAGAUUCACCGGAGUACGGUUUUUAGGGUGUUUGGAUCCGUGGGAAUUUUUCCUAAAAGGAUGUGA